rnacentral:rRNA from 1 species
UACAGAGGUCUCAAGCGUUGUUCGGAUUCAUUGGGCGUAAAGGGUGCGUAGGCGGUCGCGCAAGUCGGAUGUGAAAUCUUGGGGCUCAACCCCGAAACUGCAUUCGAUACUGCGUGGCUCGAGUACUGGAGAGGAGACUGGAAUUUACGGUGUAGCAGUGAAAUGCGUAGAUAUCGUAAGGAAGACCAGUGGCGAAGGCGAGUCUCUGGACAGUUACUGACGCUGAGGCACGAAGGCCAGGGGGAGCAAACGGG